CUAAUAAUCGCCGGUCAGCUACACGGCGGUAAAUUUGUUCCCGGGCCUUGUACACACCGC
rnacentral:rRNA from 1 species